UACGAAGGGGGCUAGCGUUGCUCGGAAUCACUGGGCGUAAAGCGCACGUAGGCGGAUUGCUAAGUCAGGGGUGAAAUCCUGGAGCUCAACUCCAGAACUGCCUUUGAUACUGGCGAUCUUGAGUCCGGGAGAGGUGAGUGGAACUGCGAGUGUAGAGGUGAAAUUCAUAGAUAUUCGCAAGAACACCAGUGGCGAAGGCGGCUCACUGGCCCGGUACUGACGCUGAGGUGCGAAAGCGUGGGGAGCAAACAGG
rnacentral:rRNA from 1 species